rnacentral:tRNA from 1 species
CAGUGGCGCAAUUGGUCAGCGCGCGGUACUUAUACACAGUAACCUGCGAAGCAAUGCCGAAGUUGUGAGUUCGAGCCUCACCUG